rnacentral:rRNA from 1 species
UGGGGAAUAUUGCACAAUGGGCGCAAGCCUGAUGCAGCCAUGCCGCGUGUAUGAAGAAGGCCUUCGGGUUGUAAAGUACUUUCAGCGGGGAGGAAGGGAGUAAAGUUAAUACCUUUGCUCAUUGACGUUACCCGCAGAAGAAGCACCGGCUAACUCCGUGCCAGCAGCCGCGGUAAUACGGAGGGUGCAAGCGUUAAUCGGAAUUACUGGGCGUAAAGCGCACGCAGGCGGUUUGUUAAGUCAGAUGUGAAAUCCCCGGGCUCAACCUGGGAACUGCAUCUGAUACUGGCAAGCUUGAGUCUCGUAGAGGGGGGUAGAAUUCCAGGUGUAGCGGUGAAAUGCGUAGAGAUCUGGAGGAAUACCGGUGGCGAAGGCGGCCCCCUGGCCGAAGACUGACGCUCAGGUGCGAAAGCGUGGGGAGCAAACAGG